UUAGUGGCGAACGGGUGAGUAACACGUGAGUAACCUGCCCUUGACUCUGGGAUAAGCCUGGGAAACUGGGUCUAAUACCGGAUACGACCAUCUGGCGCAUGUCAUGGUGGUGGAAAGCUUUUGUGGUUUUGGAUGGACUCGCGGCCUAUCAGCUUGUUGGUGGGGUAAUGGCCUACCAAGGCGACGACGGGUAGCCGGCCUGAGAGGGUGACCGGCCACACUGGGACUGAGACACGGCCCAGACUCCUACGGGAGGCAGCAGUGGGGAAUAUUGCACAAUGGGCGCAAGCCUGAUGCAGCGACGCCGCGUGAGGGAUGACGGCCUUCGGGUUGUAAACCUCUUUCAGUAGGGAAGAAGCGAAAGUGACGGUACCUGCAGAAGAAGCGCCGGCUAACUACGUGCCAGCAGCCGCGGUAAUACGUAGGGCGCAAGCGUUAUCCGGAAUUAUUGGGCGUAAAGAGCUCGUAGGCGGUUUGUCGCGUCUGCUGUGAAAGACCGGGGCUCAACUCCGGUUCUGCAGUGGGUACGGGCAGACUAGAGUGCAGUAGGGGAGACUGGAAUUCCUGGUGUAGCGGUGAAAUGCGCAGAUAUCAGGAGGAACACCGAUGGCGAAGGCAGGUCUCUGGGCUGUAACUGACGCUGAGGAGCGAAAGCAUGGGGAGCGAACAGGAUUAGAUACCCUGGUAGUCCAUGCCGUAAACGUUGGGCACUAGGUGUGGGGGACAUUCCACGUUUUCCGCGCCGUAGCUAACGCAUUAAGUGCCCCGCCUGGGGAGUACGGCCGCAAGGCUAAAACUCAAAGGAAUUGACGGGGGCCCGCACAAGCGGCGGAGCAUGCGGAUUAAUUCGAUGCAACGCGAAGAACCUUACCAAGGCUUGACAUGAACCGGAAAGACCUGGAAACAGGUGCCCCGCUUGCGGUCGGUUUACAGGUGGUGCAUGGUUGUCGUCAGCUCGUGUCGUGAGAUGUUGGGUUAAGUCCCGCAACGAGCGCAACCCUCGUUCUAUGUUGCCAGCGCGUUAUGGCGGGGACUCAUAGGAGACUGCCGGGGUCAACUCGGAGGAAGGUGGGGACGACGUCAAAUCAUCAUGCCCCUUAUGUCUUGGGCUUCACGCAUGCUACAAUGGCCGGUACAAAGGGUUGCGAUACUGUGAGGUGGAGCUAAUCCCAAAAAGCCGGUCUCAGUUCGGAUUGGGGUCUGCAACUCGACCCCAUGAAGUCGGAGUCGCUAGUAAUCGCAGAUCA
rnacentral:rRNA from 1 species